AUCACUGAUGUCUCCAUGUUUCUGAGCAAU
rnacentral:piRNA from 1 species